GUCCGCGUAACUCAGUGGUAGAGUGUGAGAUUGCAAUGGUGUGUAAAUAGCAUUCGAGUGAUAUAUCUUGAAGUCGCGUGUUCGAACCACGCCGCGGACU
rnacentral:tRNA from 1 species